rnacentral:tRNA from 1 species
GCGGGCAUAGCUCAGUGGUAGAGCGUCGGUUUCCCAAACCGAAGGUCGAGAGUUCAAUCCUCUCUGCCCGCUCCA